rnacentral:tRNA from 1 species
GCCUGGCUGCCUCAGUUGGUAGAGCAUGAGACUCUUGAUCUUGGGGUUGUGAGUUCAAGACCCAUGUUUGGCA